rnacentral:rRNA from 1 species
AGCAGUAGCCACGGUAAUACGAAGGGUGCAAGCGUUACUCGGAAUUACUGGGCGUAAAGCGUGCGUAGGUGGUGGUUUAAGUCCGUUGUGAAAGCCCUGGGCUCAACCUGGGAAUUGCAGUGGAUACUGGGUCACUAGAGUGUGGUAGAGGAUAGUGGAAUUUCCGGUGUAGCAGUGAAAUGCGUAGAGAUCGGAAGGAACAUCUGUGGCGAAGGCGACUAUCUGGGCCAACACUGACACUGAGGCACGAAAGCGUGGGGAGCAAACAGGAUUAGAUACCCCCGUAGUCCCUGUCUCUUAUAU